CUAUAUGAAGUCGGAAUUGCUAGUAAUCGCAGAUCAGCAUGCUGCGGUGAAUACGUUCCCGGGCCUCGUACACACCGCCCGUCACACCAUGAGAGUCGAUAACACCCGAAGCCCGUAGUCUAACCAUAAGGGGGACGCAGUCGAAGGUGGGAUUGAUAAUUAGGGUGAAGUCGUAACAAGGUACC
rnacentral:rRNA from 1 species